CCUACGGGAGGCAGCAGUGGGGGAUAUUGGACAAUGGGGGGAACCCUGAUCCAGCGACGCCGCGUGAGUGAAGACGGCCCUACGGGUUGUAAACCUCUUUUGUCAGGGAGCAAGGUGCAGGUCGGGACCUGCUGUGAGAGUACCCGAAGAAAAAGCAUCGGCUAACUCCGUGCCAGCAGCCGCGGUAAUACGGAGGAUGCGAGCGUUAUCCGGAUUUAUUGGGUUUAAAGGGUGCGCAGGCGGAGGUGCAAGUCAGCGGUCAAAUUGCGGGGCUCAACCCCGUACUGCCGUUGAAACUGCAUCCCUUGAGUGCGCGAGAAGUAUGCGGAAUGCGUGGUGUAGCGGUGAAAUGCAUAGAUAUCACGCAGAACUCCGAUUGCGAAGGCAGCAUACCGGCGCGCAACUGACGCUCAUGCACGAAAGCGUGGGUAUCGAACAGGUUUAGAUACCCGAGUAGUC
rnacentral:rRNA from 1 species